rnacentral:rRNA from 1 species
CCGGACCGGCGCACGGGUGAGUAACACGUAUGCAACCAGGCCGCCACAGGGGGAUGACCCGCGGAAACGCGGCCUAAUACCCCGUGACGCCACCGGAGGGCAUCCUCCGGUGGCCAAAGGAGCGAUCCGGUGGCGGAUGGGCAUGCGGCGCAUUAGCUAGACGGCGGGGUGACGGCCCACCGUGGCGACGAUGCGUAGGGGUUCUGAGAGGAAGGCCCCCCCACACUGGGACUGAGACACGGCCCAGACUCCUACGGAAGGCAGCAG